AUGGUGACAUCCCCCACAGGAUGGUGCCAUCCCCAUGGAGAUGGUGCCAUCCCCCUCAGGAUGGUGCCAUCCCCCUCUGGUGACCAUGACAUCCUCCCCAGUGAUGGUGCCAUCCCCCCAGUGAUAGUGCCAUCCCCCUGGGACAAUGACAUCCACCUCUGGAGACCAUGCCACCCCCCGUGGGACAAUGUCAUCCUCAUCCCAGCAAUGGUGCCAUCCCCCUGGGGACAGUGCCAUCCCACCCAGAAUGGUGCCAUCCCCCUGGAGAAGGUGCCAUCCCUCCCUGGGGACGGUGCCAUCCCCCCAGUGAUGGUGACAUCCCCCCUAGGAUGGUGCCAUCCCCCUGGGAUGAUGACAUCCGCCUCUGGAGACCAUGCCACCCCCCCUGGGGACAGUGACAUCCCCCCAGUGAUGGUGACAUCUCACCCAAGAUGGUGCCAUCCCCCUCAGGAUGGUGCCAUCCCCCUCUGGUGACCAUGACAUCCUCCCCAGUGAUGGUGCCACCCCCCCGGGGGUGGGUGACACCCCCCCAGGGAUGGUGACAUCUCACCCAAGAUGGUGCCAUCCCCUCUGGGGAUGGUGCCAUCCCCCUGGGACGAUGACAUCCCCCUCUCGAGACCGUGCCACCCCCCCUGGGGACAGUGACAUCCCCCCAGUGAUGGUGACAUCCCACCCAAGAUGGUGCCAUCCCCUCUGGGGAUGGUGCCAUCCCCCUGGGACGAUGACAUCCCCCUCUGGAGACCGUGCCACCCCCCCUGGGGACAGUGACAUCCCCCCAGUGAUGGUGCCAUCCCUCCAGUGAUGGUGACACCCUUCUGGGGAUGGUGCCACCCCCUCUGGGGAUGGGGACAUACCCCCAGUGAUGGUGACAUCCCACCCAAGAUGGUGCCAUCCCCUCUGGGGAUGGUGCCAUCCCCCUGGGACGAUGACAUCCCCCUCUCGAGACCGUGCCACCCCCCCUGGGGACGGUGCCAUCCCCCCAGUGAUGGGGACAUCCCCCCAAGGAUGGUGCCAUCCCCCUGCAGAUGGUGCCACCCCCUCUGGGGACCGUGCCAUCC
rnacentral:lncRNA from 1 species